rnacentral:rRNA from 1 species
CCUACGGGAGGCAGCAGUGGGGGAUAUUGCACAAUGGGGGAAACCCUGAUGCAGCGACGCCGCGUGGGUGAAGAAGCGCCUCGGCGCGUAAAGCCCUGUCAGCAGGGAAGAAAAUGACGGUAACUGAAGAAUAAGCCCCGGCUAACUACGUGCCAGCAGCCGCGGUACUACGUAGGGGGCAAGCGGUAGCCGGAUUCAAUGGGGGUAAAGGGGGCGCAGACGGCGAUGCAAGCCAGGAGGGAAAGCGCGGUGCCCAACCCUGAGACUGCUCUUGGAACUGCGUGGCUAGAGUGCAGGAGGGGAGGGCGGAAUUCCUGGUGUAGCGGUGAAAUGCGUAGAUAUCAGGAGGAACACCGGUGGCGAAGGCGGUCUGCUGGACUACAACUGACGUUGAGGCCCGAAAGCGUGGGGAGCAAACAGGAUUAGAUACCCCAGUAGUC